rnacentral:rRNA from 1 species
CAGCAGCCGCGGGAAUACAGAGGGUGCGAGCGUUAAUCGGAUUUACUGGGCGUAAAGCGUGCGUAGGCGGCUUUUUAAGUCGGAUGUGAAAUCCCUGAGCUUAACUUAGGAAUUGCAUUCGAUACUGGGAAGCUAGAGUAUGGGAGAGGAUGGUAGAAUUCCAGGUGUAGCGGUGAAAUGCGUAGAGAUCUGGAGGAAUACCGAUGGCGAAGGCAGCCAUCUGGCCUAAUACUGACGCCGAGGUACGAAAGCAUGGGGAGCAAACAGGAUUAGAUACCCCGGUAGUCCCUGUCUCUUAUAC